rnacentral:lncRNA from 1 species
UUCAAAUCAGUCUUGUCCAUUGGAUCAUGCUGAAAAUAAAUCUUGACCCUUUAAACUUCUAUUUUUAACUGCUAUUGUGGCAGUUCUGGGCGGUUCUGUACGCCCCUCAUUUUCCGGCCCAUCUUUCCCACUAAACACGGUUGCUACAAAAUUGGGACGUGGGUAAACUGCAGUUGCCAACCGAUCUUAUAUAACAUAUUCGCCUCCAUACAUGAUAUCAUAUAUACACAGAAACACAAAGAUGGCACCGUUAUUCAAUCGCGAUCUCAAACCUACAUUCAAGCGUUCUUCAUUCGCGAUCUGUCGAGACCUAAAUUUCCCGUUGUUGCUAAAUGUUUGAUCAGAGAAAUUAGGUUAGAUCAGAGAAAUUUGAAACCGUCUGGAGCAGAAGAAACCAAAAUGGCUCUUUCCAAAGCCAAGGCAAGGCUGAAUUAGUGGUUGUGUCACUUGCUUAUUGUUAUUGCUUUUGAUAAGAAGUCGAAACAGAGAUGGAAGAAUAUGAACAAGAGCAAGAGCAAGACAUACCUAAUGAUAAUGGAUUGAAAUCAGCGGGGGACAAUAGUUUUGGGCUGGAUUUCUCUUUACCAGUAGUUAAAUGAUACCUAGCAAUCACACUCUCCGUGUAGACUUCCAUGGUCUUUUAUGAGAAUUCUGGGUUGCAAAAAGUGUAUGCCACAGUGUGGUAUUGUCAGGAAAAGCAAGUGUUGGAGCUGCUGCACUACUAAAAAGAGCGGUUAGUAAAUUUAAUUUAACCUUACGUUCAAUUCGCUUAGCAUGAUAAGCAGAAGUGGAAAAUGGACGGGUUGGGUAACGGGUCAUUUCUAUUACAUGUGUUUAUUUCCUUCAAGUACAUUAUGAAAAUGUGUGUUAUAUUGGUCAAAUAGAGAUAGGAAAAUGGAUGGGUGGGCAGAGUCAAACGGCUAAUUUUUUUAAUAUGUGUGUUAAUUUGGUCAAGUACAAUAUGGAAACUGGUCCAACUAGCUAACAAAUUUGUUUGGCUCAACAAUUACUUUUCAUCUCCUAACUACAUUGAAUGAGCUCAUGAUGCUUUCAAAGGAUAUGCUAUUAAGCAAUACGAUCCAAAAAGUGGUUUCUAACCUUUUUAUAAAACCCAAACUAUUCUUUAAAAUUUGCUAAUCUGAUUAUCUCCUUGAGUAUUUAUAAGAGUUUAAAUCUUUUUAAUUUAGAAGGUAUGUCCUACUUUUGGUGUACCAUUAAUAAAGAGGAUUCUUGAUAAUUUUGCCCCAAAUGAGUUUUUCCCAGGCCCUCUUGCUGAAGUGGUGCUUGAAGCACUGGAGUCAGGGGACAGUUUCUCUGGAUUUUUUUUUCUUACUUAUGCUUUAAACAUUUAAAAUAACCAGAAGUUGCAUGUUCAUUGCUUUUAAGAUAUUCAAUAUUUUUUCAAAAAUUAUGUACUCGAUAUUUAAACUGUCUCUUUAUAAUUCUUUUUCAUAAAGCAUUGUGAUACUUGAUUCCAUGUUCAGCACUUGCUUCGUAAGCUUGAAAGCGAGUCAUGCAUCGGAAAGACGUUAAUCUCUUUACAAGUCAUUUAUAGCAAUCUGUACAUACUGUAACCAUAUUCCUCUUUUUCUAUCUAUAAUGCUUCUAUACCUGUGUUGCAUCUAGACUAAGUACCUUUACAUUUGUAAGUGGAUUGUGAACUUUCAACUGAUGCUAAGGUUAUGAAAUUCGUGCCAUCACAAUCAGAUUGCCAUGCAAUGGAUCAGAAUUCGGCUCGUGGUUCAAUCGUUUCAACUAAUUAAAUUAUAUUAUCUGCUAUAUACUACUGCAUAAUCUUUUGGAUAAAAUAUAUGCUUGACUAACUACUCAUUAAUUUACUCUAAUAGUUAAUACUGCAUACAUCUUUAAUUGUUGUGUUUCUUUAAAUAAGUUAUUCUAGGUUAUAUUGAAUAGAUUUCAACUAUACAUGUGAAAUGAGUUAUUGCCAAUAUAAAACUCAUAAAGUAGAGUUAAUUUAUGCUGCCAAAAUCGCGAUGCAGUUAAUAUAGAUUAUCUUUGGUUGUGAAAAUGAGAAAGAGAGAUAGAAAAGGAGAAAAGAAAAAGGAGGAGUGAUCCCAGACAACCUCAAUAUAGAUUAUCUUUGUUUGUUACGUUGUUAGCGUAACCCGUCCACCGGACGGGUAUUAAACUAGUUAUUCAGGGUCCAAUUAAGCGUGGAGAGAUUUGAAGAAAAGCUUCAGGAAGCAUUGAGAAUAAAUCCACAUAAUUAUACACUUGUCACAUAUUCUUCUAAAACAAAUUGGGUCCAAGAGCAAAUGAGGUUUGGCUCUCAUCUUUGGUAAGAUGUAACCAUUUGUUAAGUUUUGUUGAACUUUCUUAAGUAUGAUUGAAGCACAUACCACCAUUAGCCAGAGAAUCUGGGGAGUGCAAACCAUCAUAACUCAAAACCUGCAAAUGAAUUGA